UCCCUCAGUAACGGCGAGCGAAGCGGGAAUUGCUCAAAUUUAAAAUCUCCGGUGGAGACGCCGGCGAAUUGUAGUCUGGAGGGCCGGUUUCGCCCUAGGCGGUGUCCUCAAAGUCGUCCUGGAAAGGCGGGCCGAAAGGGUGAGAGCCCCGUGCGCGGGGGCACCGCCAAGGCAAGAUCCGCGCCCGAAGAGUCGGGCUGUUUGGGAUUGCAGCCCAAAACGGGUGGUAAACUCCAUCUAAGCUAAAUACUGGCACGAGACCGAUGCGAACAAGUACCGUGAGGGAAAGAUGAAAGCACUUUGAAAGAGAGUCAAUAGUACGUGAAACCGUCGGGAGGGAAACGAACGAGGUCGGUGCGGCGAUCGCGCAGGCUCAGGCGGCGCUUAAGGUCGGCGGCGGGCGAGCGUAGAUCGUUCCCCGUCGCACUGCCGAGCGCCGACGUACUUCUCGCGAUCGCGGACCAGCGGCGGUUGGAUCCGGGCAGAAGGGCGAAGGAAGGUGCGCAGGCGGGCUCGCCCCGCAGGCAGUUAUAGACUCGCAUUCCGGCGCCCGGGUCCGACCGAGGAAGUGGGCAGCGUUUGCCCGUGCGGUGCACGCCGUAAGGCGGGGCCCCCUCUCGAAGGCGAAUCGCUCCUCGGGGACUGCGUGCAGUGUCAGUCGAAGCGGUGAACCUGUCGAGGGACGGUGCCACUCGUGCGCCAGUGCCGCCGGUAUUCGGACGGCCUCGUCCGACCCGUCUUGAAACACGGACCAAGGAGUGCAACAUGUGCGCGAGCCCUUUGGCGAGCAAACCAGAAGGCGCAAUGAAAGUGAAGGCUCGGUCGCCGAGCUGAGGUGAGAGCCCCGGUGGGCGCAUCAUCGACCGACUCCAUCCGAGCCGUUCGCGGUGCGGCGGAGUUCGAGUGAGAGUGUACCUGUUGCGACCCGAAAGAUGGUGAACUAUGCCUGAAUAGGGUGAAGCCAGAGGAAACUCUGGUGGAGGCCCGCAGCGAUUCUGACGUGCAAAUCGAUCGUCAAAUUUGGGUAUAGGGGCGAAAGACUAAUCGA
rnacentral:rRNA from 1 species